rnacentral:tRNA from 1 species
GCGCCCUUAGCUCAGCUGGAUAGAGCAACGGCCUUCUAAGCCGUAGGUCACACGUUCGAAUCCUGCCGGGUGCG